UAGAUGGGGAAGGGAUUUGGACAAGUGAGAAGGAGCAGAAAGGAGGGGCGAUUGUGUAAAUUUAAGAGUGCCAGUGGGCCAUGUCCCAUUUUUUAUGGGAUACACUCAAUAUGCACACAAAGGAUUUCCCCUCAUGAACAUGUAAUGUUCCCGUAGAGGGUAAUAACAUGUCCUUUUUGUGUGUGGGAUGUAUUUCCAAUAGAUGAUGAAAAUUUAGCUCUCUCCUUGUAUGCAGUGCAUUAGCAGGGACAUCCAGCAGAUGUGCAUGUCUUGCCAAUGGGCUGGCACUCGUAUAACUGAGACCAAGAUCUGCCUUGCUAUGUAGGAUUUCUAUAAUCGUAUGUCAUCAGGGAGUAAGCCAUUCCUAGGAACCCUCUUAUAUCAGACCUUUAGAAUGGGGAAUGUAGGGGUUUAACAUGGAGACCCCUUUAGAGCUGAAGCCCAUUCUGGACCAUUAGGGUACCCAGACAGAAAGUGUGAAAAAUCAGGAUGGGAGUGGGGGUAAUAGGCACCUAUAUAAGAAAAAGCCCCAAAUGUUGGGACUGUCCCUAUAAAAUCGGGACAUCUGGUCACUCUAUCAGCAAGAGGGCCAUAUCUCAGCCUUUACUAAUCUGCUGGUCAUUGAAGCUCACAGCAACUUCUAAGCUGCUAAAUGCCAGGGAUGCAGAUGGCAGUCACAAAUAAAGCAUCUCACCUACAGAAAAUGUUUUUUUCACCCACAUUUUGGCUGCAGACCUAUUACGAAUGCUGCCUGGACGGUGUCUCGGUGUUUGUUUUGUUCUGCAACCAACAAAGCAGUCUGAGACAGGAAAAGAGGGCUGGGCUGGACAAGGGGAAGGGGCAGGUCUCCCACCAUCCUGGACCUGAUCUAAAGCCAACUGAAAUCAGUGAAACACUGUCACUGAUUUCCAAGGGGGUUGCAUUAGGCUCUUUGAGCUCUGUAAGGCCAAGGAAAGUCAGCAGGGAAAGACUGGGGAUAUGUGGCAACCAAGCGAACCCUUCUGAGCACUGCGUGUUCUCAUUUAGAUAAGAGCCUGUAGACUAGCCACUGAAGCAGUGGGGGUUGAGUUUCUAUGUCUCAGUGGCCUAGACAGGCUGAGGGAAGAAGGAGGAUGUGGCCUGGCCGCUAUACUCCACAGCUGGGCCUGAUUAGCAACCUGUAGAGAAACUUCCUGCAGCUCAGAUCUGGGGAAGGAGAAUUACUUGGGCUAUGUCUGUAGGGGGUAGGGAGGGGAACUGUUUUGCUGCAGCACAGAAGCUGAACCUUUCAUCACUUGACAUGCUUUGACCCAAUCCAUAAUGCCUAAUGGAAAUUCACCCAAUAGUAGAAAAAUCAGCAAAGUCAUACCAAUGUACCCUGACAUGAAUUAAAUGCAACAACAGCUCCUGCCAGAUCAAAGUUGAUCCACUGCUGGCUUCCCUUCUGCUGAAAACAACAAACCAACUCCUCACAAGUCGUGCUCACGCUGCUGUUUUGUAUGUCGGAAGGAAGUUUGCAGGUGCAAUUAGAAUUUUCUCCCAAUUCCCUAAUCCUUGCUGAGUGCCUUGUUUGGAGCACCCCCCAGGAUCAGGCUCUAAGAGCUCAGAACAAUCUACUAGUAUCAACAGGCUGAAUGCAACAAAACCAGUCCCACCAGAAUUCGUGUGCAAAGCUGAAUUUAUGCUUUGCCCUCCAGCUCAUUAACUUUUCCUGAACUUAAAUUACUUGAGACUGUUCCCUGAGAUACUAGAACAUUUAUAGACCUAUCCACCAUGAGCCGUAAAUACCAUAUUACAGCUCAGUUUGAUUCUAAACUGUGGCAUAACUCCCCUAUGCCUCUACCUCUGCUUUGAAAACAACUGAAGCUUGUCUGUUAUCCAAGUGUAUGUAUUUAACUGGUUUGUAGUAAGUCUAUAACAAUGAACGGCUUACACAACAGUAUAUAAAUUGAUUUCAAUCAUGUUUUAAUGUAAGUACUUUGUGAAUAUUUGUACAUUUUUAAGAACUAUCAUGCCAUUUGUUUCCUAACUCCCUUAUUGUUUCUGAAUAAUGCUAGUUCAAAAAUUAAAAUUGGAUUUUCAAGCUGAUUGUAAAUAUUUAAAAGAUCUGCUGAAAAGGGGCCAAAUCCUUGUAGGAUUUAGUGUGGUUAAUUGUUAAUUAAACAAAUCAGUAUUAAUAACUCACAACUAUUUUUUGAAAACUAGAUUUCAUUUAGGAUCGCCAAAAAUAUUACAAUUGGUUUUAUUUCAUUUUCACAGAAUUUUGAAAUAUACAGUUACUAAACAUAAGUAUGUGUGCUAGGUUCUCAACUAUUCUUGUCUUCUACAGAUCAUAAAUUAGCUGUGAAGAUGUAGUUCUAUUUUCCCUCAGGAAAGGCAAUUUCAUGAAAAAAAUCUAAAGCAUGGAUGAAAAGAUUCUAUAUUUAGAAUUACACUGAGGACUUACUAUGACCUUCAGAGAAUAGAAACUAAAAGGCUUAAUUUUUACAUACAAAAGAGCUGUUCCAUAAAAACUUAAAUUAAAAAAAGAAGUGUUUAGAACACCUGCUUUCCAUGCAUUUGCCUUUUUUAAACAAUUUUUUUUAAAAGUUAAGCUUGA